rnacentral:rRNA from 1 species
UUGGAGGGCAAGUCUGGUGCCAGCAGCCGCGGUAAUUCCAGCUCCAAUAGCGUAUAUUAAAGUUGUUGCAGUUAAAAAGCUCGUAGUUGAAUUUCGGGAUCAGAGUGUCGGUCGUGCCUCGGUACGCACUGGUAUUAUUGGUUCCUACCUUCUGAAGAACCGCGAUGUCAUUAAUUUGGUGUCGUGGGGAAUCAGGACUGUUACUUUGAAAAAAUUAGAGUGUUUAAAGCAGGCUCACGCUUGAAUACAUUAGCAUGGAGUAAUGAAAUAGGACGUUUGAUUCUAUUUUGUUGGUUUCUAGGAUUGACGUAAUGAUUAAUAGGGAUAGUUGGGGGCAUUAGUAUUCAAUUGUCAGAGGUGAAAUUCUUGGAUUUAUUGAAGACUAACUACUGCGAAAGCAUUUGCCAAGGAUGUUUUCAUUAAUCAAGAACGAAAGUUAGGGGAUCGAAGACGAUCAGAUACCGUCGUAGUCUUAACCAUAAACUAUGCCGACUAGGGAUCGGAUGAUGUUAAUUUUUUAAUGACUCAUUCGGCGCCUUACGGGAAACCAAAGUGUUUGGGUUC